CUCCGGGGGCGCUCUGACUGAUAUCGAGAGGGAGAGACGCCCGCAGUCGCGCGACGCUCCUCGCCCUCGUACUUUCUCUCUCUUUCUCUCUCUCUCUCUCUCUCAUUCUCGCUCGCUCGCUCGCUCUCGUCGGUUUUUCCGGCGACCAAAAACAAGGGGGAGCAUUUAUCAUUAGGGCUCUCGACUCCCCGUCGUCUCAGUCGUCGCUGUCAGUCCGGUCGUUGCAAGUGUCAGUGCUCAAAGCCUUCUUCUCACAGUUGUGCACCAAAGUGUGUUUGUUUUGCCGCUUUUUGGUUUGACGGUGGAUGACGUUGCACGAGACAGAGCUACAGCUAAAGUAGCUUGAAAUGUCAACAUUGGGAAUAACAACAAUAACAAUAACGACGAGGCGGAAGCAGGAGGAGCAUCAGCAGCAGCAGCAGUCGCGACGUCGUCAGUGUUACAAUUAAUGGAUGAGGUCCGGGUACAGGCUGGAUGGCAGGCGCGCGCGACAUGCAUUAUCACCAUGUAUCUUGGGAAGCCAGCUACUACUGCUACUACAACUACUACGACAACGCCGGCAGCACACUCAUCCGAAUGAACGUGCCCGGCCGGACUUUAACAUGCCAAGCUUCAGCAGCAACGACGGAGCCCCGACCUUACUGAAAAAAGACGAGGAAGACGAGGAAGCGACGGAAGAAGAAUCGAUGCUGGCGGCGUUUGGGGCGGUAGCGUCUGGGCGAGCGGCAGAGCUCGUUGUGGGAUGUAGUUGACGUAGCUGGUUGGCCGCGAGAAGG